CUUUGCAUACCUGAGGUCUUCUGAAGGCAGGAAAAUAGAAGCAUCUGAACCACACAACAUGAAAUAUUUCUUAGAAUUUUUCUCCAUGGAAAGGAAGAGGCUGUAUAAAGAAGAACUGACAAAUCACUUAUUUCAAAACUGGAAGGAAACUUUUAAAGAGCUCAGAAAAGUUGCACAUAGAGCUAUUUUAAAACUAACAACAGAGUGAUGACAUCUUGGAAUGAAUUCCUAUGGAAUUUGAAAGCAGAAGCAGCUGAACUUCUGUCAGAUCCAGUGACUUCCUAGACACUUCAAUGUCUUGUUCAAAAUGGACAUCCACACCACUUUGCAUGUGAAUAUUUGAAGUUCCAUCUGGCCUAGUAACCCAUUCUACUUCAUCUCUGUUGCAUGAGAAGCACAAAACAUUCUACUACAAUGGGAAUUUAUAUGCAGAUGUGUUUUCCAUUGCAAUCACAAGCAGAUACAAAUUCCUGGAGUGCCUGGGAGCCAGACCUCUAGAGCAGGACCUCAAUGGUU